AGAGUCUCGCAGGCAUGGAAAGCCAUGACACGGUGGCAAAAAAACAAUCUAAAUGAAGGAUCCUGGUGAACAACACCCCAGCAGAAGGAUCAGGCCAUCAAGGAGAGAGGUGCCUUUCUCUGAAGGGAGGAAGGAACCUCCACUGGGAUAUGGCCUUGACUAAACAAAUUCAGAGUUGCUGAACUCAAGGGGCUUCCAUAGCCUAGACAGCUCAUAGCAAGAGUCUCAGGUGAUUGCUGACAUCAUAAAUAAGAGUGCCAAUUGUUAAAUCAACAACGGGAGUCACUGGGUUCAUGCUCCCCACACAGGAUCUCUGUCCUUAAUAUGUUUAACUAUGAAACUCAAAAACAACACUACUAGUCGAACAAUACCCUAUACCUGGUUCAGUUGUGUGAGUGCAACCUGUUGAAAUCCCUGCUUAGUAUAUACUAAGUUGAUCUUCAAUAUAUGAAGAGAGAAGAAAAAAUAAUCUUACAUGAUAAUCCUUUAUAAAAAGUUGAUGAAAAUGGACUUAAAAGACAAGUUUAUUUUGGCCCAGAUGGCUUUACUUGGGAGUUCUACCAAGCACUAUUUCAGGAAGAAAUAAUAUGAAUUCAACAGAACUGCACAAAAUUGAAGAGGAAGACUUUGAAACUUAUUCUGUAAGGCCAAUAUUAAUUAUCUUUAUCAGUCAGAUGAAGCUGAUACAAGGAAAGCAAACUGCAGAACCUGAGGAAGAGAACCUAAGGAAGAACCUAAGCUGUCAGGCCACCUACAAAACUCCCCCUCUGACAUCAAAUGCUACACACUGGCUCUUGCUUACUACUGAACCGGAGCAAAGAAAUUUCUAGUUUUGGUAACUGCUACAGUUAUUCAAGGUCCUGUAGGUGUGUUUUCUUCCUCAAAGGUUAAUCAAAAUUUUUGAAGAGCACUUGGAACAAUUUUUCCAGUAAAGAGAGGAUUUUGAAAAGACCUAGUACUAUACAAUUCCUUAAAAAAAUUGUCUAAGCCUUUUUGUUAAGAAAGGAGCAUUUAGUCUACAUUCAACAUUCCCUGCUUGGAAAAUAAAAAUUAAAGAUCUUCACAUGACCUUUACUAGAACAUAAAGAUCACUGGUAUGCUGCCAAUCUUUAGUGCAUAACUAAUAUUUAAGGUAACUUUGUAGUCUCUACAGCCUCAUGAAUGUAAUCAGUGUAAUAAGUUUUAGAUACUGCAAUAAAAUAUUUCAAUUAGACAUCUUCAAGUAAUGAGAAAGUCCAGUUAAGCAAGAAUCAUGCCAAUGAUAACUGAAAUUCACUGUUUUAUAUGUAGCAGGCAUGUUUUUGAGUAUUUACAUACAUCUACUCAAUUAAUGCUGAUAACAGCCACAUAAGGUAGUUACGAAAAUCCAUUAUGAAUAAGAUCGUAAUUUACUUCAAGUUAAUGCUGUUUAGCUAAGAAAACUGGGAAAAAUAAAGGGAAUAAUGUUACUUUACACAGAAGUUAGAAUAUAAUGUAGUUCUUGUUAAUAAUCCAAUAAAAUGAAAAUUAAGAGCAGUAAAAUUACCCUCAAAUAUGUGAGGAAAGUGCCAUAUUGGAUGCCGAGGUGCUAUUUCUGAAUAACUAUAGUUUUCUCUCAGGACUGGGUAUGCAGAGGAACUACAGGAAAAGCAUGAGUUUUGAGUUCAGAUGACAUAUCAUAAUGACAUCAUAUCUUUGCACACUGGCAUUACAUUCAUUUUGGCUAAGUUUCUACGCAAGGGAGGCCUUGGGAACAUAUAUCCUCAAGGCAUCAUCAUGUUUAUACAAGGUAGCUUCAAAAAGUUCAUGGAAAUGGAAUUAAAAGAUAUUUAUUUUGGUGAACAAAAAUUUCAAAAUAUAUGUAGAGCUUUCUCAUAAUGGGCAUUUUCUGUGAUCUCUGUAAAGACAUCUUGCAUCUCUCAUGUCUUGUUCACUAUAGAGAUGGUAUGGAAUGGAAGGCAAUUUAGAGUAUUUCUCUUUUCAGAAAUAUGUUUUUUACCUAUUGUAUGUCCCAUUUUUCUACCUACCUCAUCCUGCACAAAAACUCUCAAAUCCAUAUUUGUCAUUCCUGUGUUAUCUCUUACUGCACCUAGGGAGUUUUUGAGCAAGUAUAUUUUUGUCUGUUUUUUUUUUGUUGUUGUUGUUGUUGUUAUUUUUUUACCAGAAAUGUUUUAUUUAGGGUAUACAAAUUUCAUGCACUUCACAAAUACAAAUUUAGGAACAUAAUGAUUCUUCCAACUCACCUGCCCCCCCCCACCAUUCUUGCUCCUCCCUCUCCUAUUUCCAUUCUUAUUUUUUUAUCUAUUUUCAAUUAACUUUAUACACAUAAGAUUAACCCUGUACUAAGUAAAGAGUUCAACAAAUAGUAUGAAAAAAACUGCUCCUCAACCAUCAAGGCAAGGGCUUUUCAAAGUCAUCACAUCUCAAAGUGUCAAUUUCACUUCUAUAGAUAACCUUAUAGGUGCUCUAUAAGUUACCACAUAUCAGGGAGGAUAUAUGGUAUUUGUCCCUUGACAAUUGGCUUAUUUCACUAAGUAUAAUGUUUUCCUGUUGGAUCCAUGUUGUUGCAGGUGAAAGGACUUCAUUUUUUUUGUGCUGCUGGGUAGUAUUCAAUGGUGUUCAUAUCUCUUAAUUUCCUUAUCCUGACUUCAGCUGAUGCACAUUUAAGUUGAUUCCAUGUCUUAGGUAUUGUGAAUUGAGCAUAAUAAACAUGUGGGUAAAGAUAACUCUUUCAUAUACUGAUUUCAUUUCCCCUGGGUAAUUUCCCAGGAGUGGGAUAGCUGAGUCAUAUGGUAGGUGUAUCUUCAUAUUUAUGAGGUAUCUCCAGACUGUCUUCCACAGUGACUGUACCAGUUUUAGGAUCCCACCAACAGUGGAUUAGGGUACCUUUUUUCCCACAUGCUCACUUGCAUUUGUUUCUUGUUGAUUCUUUAGGAACGCCAUUCUAACUGUGGUAAAGUGAAACCUCAUUGUUUUGAUUUCCAUUUCCCUAUUAGCUAGUGAUCGUGAGUAUUUUUUCAUGUGUCUGUUGGCAGUUUGAAUUUCCUCAUUUGAAAAAUGUCUAUUUAAGUCUUUUCCCCAUUUCUUUACUGGGUUGCUUGAUUUGUUAUUGUGGAGUUCAUGAUCUUUAUAUGUAUUUUGGUUAUUAAUCCUUUAUCAGUUGCAGAGUUUGCAUAUAGUUUCUCCCAUUCUAUCAGUUACCUCUUCACUUUCCUGAGUGUUUCUUUGGCAGUACAGAAGUUUCUCAAUUUGGUGAAUCCUAUUUGUUAAUUUUGCUUUGAUUGCCUGUGCCUCUGGUGUCUUUUCCAAGAAUUCUUUGCAUAUGCCCAUGUGUUUCAGGGUUUCUCCAAUGUUCUCUAAUAAUUUGAUGGUAUCAGGUUGUAGAUUUAGGUGUCUAAUCCAUUUUGAAUGGAUUUUUGUGUAAGGUAUAAGAUAGGAGUCUUGCUUAACACUUGUACAUGCAGAAAUACAGCUAUCCCAGCACCAUUAGUUGAAGAGACUGUUCUUGCUCCAGGAAUUGAUUUUAGCUCCUUGGUCAGAUAUAAUUUGGUUGUAGAUAUUUGAAUUGAUUUCUAGUGUUUCUAUUCUGUUCCAUUGGUCUAUCCAUACGUUUUGUACCAGUACCAGGCUGUUUUGAUUAUAACUGCCCUAUAGUAUGUCUUGAAAUCUGGUACUGUUGUAUUUGUUGUAUAAGAUUGCUUUAGCUAUUCGGGGUCCACCUGUCUUUCCAUAUGAAUUUGAGCAUCAUUCUUUGUAUAUCUGUGAAGAAUGUCCUUGAUAUUUGGUAUCACAUUGAAUCUGCAAAUUGCUUUCAGUAGCAUGGACAUUUUAUUGAUAUUGAUUCUUCCAAUCCAUGAACAGGGAAGAUUUUUCCAUUUUGGGGGUCUUCGUCUAUUUCUUUCUUUCAUGUUUUCUGUGGGAAGCUUUUGUGCUGGGACUGUGAAAACAUUGAGGCUGUGUGGGAGGACUCAGGGUGUGACUGGGACUUUGGGUGGUCACUGUGGGAGGUUCCACACAUCAGGGCUCCCUGGUUACCUAAUGAGAAUCACUGCUGGGGGAUCUGAGCUUACAUUGAGGACUGCACAGAUCCUUUGUGUGGUCCUUGUGGCAGAGCUGACGAAUAAUAUACACACUGGGACUAGCAUGCAGGCACUGGUCUCCUUCAAGGAGAGGAAUUCAGCUGAGUCUACACCGACAGACAAAAACAAACCUCCUCUCUGAUUAAAAAAAGAGAUUUGCCAAUGCAAAACUGAGUAUAUCACUUCAGACAUGCCCUCCAUCCUGGAGAACUGAACAGGACUCCCUGGCUACACUCACUACACACCUCUAGGUAUUUACUGGAAGCAAACAUUCCACUAAUCUACAGAGGAACAUUACAAAGAUAAAAGCUGCCACAUGGAAAAAAACAAAGAAGAAAUCAACAAGUGUCUCCACAAAUACUGAACAGCAAAUGUGCCAAUUAAAGAAACAAGACAAUAUGAUGUCCCAAAAGAAUACACAACACUUCAAUACUAGAUCGUGAAUAUGAUGCCAGAAAUGGAAUUGAAAAAAUUGACCAUAGGAUUACUUAGAAGUAGUCAGAAGCCGGCACCGCGGCUCAAUAGGCUAAUCCCCCACCUAG